rnacentral:rRNA from 1 species
AUUGAACGCUGGCGGCAUGCCUUACACAUGCAAGUCGAACGGCAGCGGGGGAGAAGCUUGCUUUUCCUGCCGGCGAGUGGCGAACGGGUGAGUAAUACAUCGGAACGUGCCCUGUAGUGGGGGAUAACUAGUCGAAAGAUUAGCUAAUACCGCAUACGACCUGAGGGUGAAAGUGGGGGACCGCAAGGCCUCAUGCUAUAGGAGCGGCCGAUGUCUGAUUAGCUAGUUGGUGGGGUAAAGGCCAACCAAGGCGACGAUCAGUAGCUGGUCUGGGAGGACAGUCAGCCACACGGGGACUGAGAAACGGCCCAGACUCCCACGGGAGGCAGGAGUGGGGAAUUUUGGACAAUGGGCGAAAGCCUGAUGCAGCAAUGCCGGGUGUGUGAAGAAGCCCUUCGGGUGGUAAAGCACUUUUGUCCGGAAAGAAAUGGCUCUGGUUAAUACCUGGGGUCGAUGACGGUACCGGAAGAAUAAGGACCGGCUAACUACGUGCCAGCCGCCGCCGUAA